AACGCGAAGAACCUUACCUGGCCUUGACAUGCACGGAAUUUAGCAGAGAUGCCUUAGUGCCUUCGGGAACCGUGAGACAGGUGCUGCAUGGCUGUCGUCAGCUCGUGUUGUGAAAUGUUGGGUUAAGUCCCGCAACGAGCGCAACCCUUAUCCUUUGUUGCCAGCACGUAAAGGUGGGAACUCAAAGGAGACUGCCGGUGAUAAACCGGAGGAAGGUGGGGAUGACGUCAAGUCAUCAUGGCCCUUACGGCCAGGGCUACACACGUGCUACAAUGGCGCAUACAAAGAGAAGCGACCUCGCGAGAGCAAGCGGACCUCAUAAAGUGCGUCGUAGUUCGGAUCGGAGUCUGCAACUCGACUCCGUGAAGUCGGAAUCGCUAGUAAUCGUAGAUCAGAAUGCUA
rnacentral:rRNA from 1 species